AGUGAGCAAGCAAGAAGGCAGGGCCCGGCAGUGGGACUGUGGCAGUGUGACAAAACUCAGACCAUCUUCUUGUAGCGAGAGCAUCACUUCACAAACAUUUAACAGACCUGCCCUUCACCAAUUCCCAAAUCUUAUCUGACACAGAAGAUAAGGACAGUCACCUGGACCCAGCUCAUCCCCUCCAAUAUGGCUUUAAAGUUAGAGGGCCAAGGCCUGGCUAGUGUACACCUUUUUCCAUCUGCAGAUGGGGGUUCCAGGGAAGGAGCAGUAGAAAUUAAGGCUCUCUCAACCAAGGACCUACCUACUGAUAGACUAAGCCGAGCAUACAAUAAAAGCGUACUUCCGACUCCGAGCUGUCCGCGCUGCACCCUGUGUUGGUUUUGAUUUCCCAGGGUGCUUUGCGAGGGUUGCUUCUCUUCCGGUUUUGUCCCAAGCGGUGGCGGAGGCGAAGGUUUGAGCCAUGGCC